GCACUAUCAGCCAGACUAGCCAGUACUAUCAGCCAGACUAGCCAGUACUAUCAGCCAGAGUAACUGCCACUAUCAGCCAGACUAACUGCCACUGUUCCGGAGAAUAACUGCCUCUGUCGACCAGGAGCGAUGUGACUGCGGCCUGUAACCCUGAGGUUAGAAACACAGAUGGGGUGGGUGACAGUAGCUUGUGUUCAGUAGCAGGGAAG